rnacentral:lncRNA from 1 species
UGUGUCAUGCAAGAAGGAGGCGGCGGCGGCGGCCGGAGCUGGAGGGGGAGGAGGGGAGGAACCUGAUCCUCGGUAGCGAAGGGCUGGAGGCAAACACCGAGCUCCCCCUGAGCCGCCUGGGAGCAGGGAGGGUUCUGCUACCCUGAGGGGCCCUCCCCGCGGGGCAGAGGGGUUUCCUCAGCAGUGCCCCGGAGCAGGGACCGCGCCAGCCAGCAGAAACAGCUAGUUGUUGUCUGCAGUGAAGAAUAAUUGGAAGCAUGGUGCCUGUUUCUUUUCCUGUGGGAGGAAGUCACAGCAUCUACUUCUGAAUCUGUGCUUGCCUUGAGGAAAAACGGCAUGGCACAGGAAUGUGGACGCUUUCAACCAGAGGAUUCUGUACGACGGUGUCGGCACACAAGGAGUGUUCCACUGACUGACCUCUUUUUGUUUUCAAAUGAAGAGGAGCCAAGAAUAGGACAGCUUGGGAAGGUGACAGGUUGCCAAGCUGCCAAGAACUCCUGCCUCUGCUCAUACUGCUCUGCUGAAGUACAUUUGCGACAUCAACCAUCAAAUUACAUAUAAAUAUCUCAUCCUCGUCUACGGCCAAACGUUGGUUUCUCAUUUCUAGAAGAUGAAAGAUGUGAUGACUCAGGAAAAACUGGAAUCUUAGUAACUGUGGUGGGCAUUGAGCCUUGCCGUCCACAAGAGAAAGCUUGCUGCUCGAGAUGUGAGUCUUCAGAUGUUCCUGCCGCCAUAUCUGACAGCUGCUGCCAAGAUUCCCUGGUGGGAUGGACUCUUAUACCUCAACAACCAGAAGCCCAAGUAAACUCUUCUAUAAAUUGAAUGACUCAUGCUUAAAAAAAAAAACAAAAAACAAACUAUCUUUA